GUGGAUUAGAUACCCUGGUAGUCCACGCCGUAAACGAUGUCUACUAGCCGUUGGGGUCCUUGAGACUUUAGUGGCGCAGUUAACGCGAUAAGUAGACCGCCUGGGGAGUACGGCCGCAAGGUUAAAACUCAAAUGAAUUGACGGGGGCCCGCACAAGCGGUGGAGCAUGUGGUUUAAUUCGAUGCAACGCGAAGAACCUUACCUGGUCUUGACAUAGUGAGAAUCCUGUAGAGAUGCGGGAGUGCCUUCGGGAAUUCACAUACAGGUGCUGCACGGUCGUCGACAACU
rnacentral:rRNA from 1 species